GUAUGCACAGUAAGGCACCAGGACAGAUCUAGACUGGCAAAGAAGUGGUGAAAGAAAUGGGGAAAGGGUUAGGGAAGAAUGGAGAGGACUCUAAACUACAGUCAUAGUGAGACCUUGAGUGCCUCUGGGUUAGUCCUUCGUCUCCCUCUACUCCUUGUGUCUCAGCUGAAGGGCAAACUUCAGGGACGAUCUCACUGUGUUUCAACCACUGUUCAGGGUCCCACCUUGCGACCCUCUCCUGAGAGGUUGUCCACAACUCUGUCCCACCCCCGUCUCCAUCUUCUUCCGCCAGAUCUGGGGCAGGGGGAUUGCAGAGGGGAAAGAGGAAACAUAGUGGCUGGCAGGAUAGGGAGGGAUGCGUGUCCAGGUGAGGAAGAGGUGUGACGUGAAGGUGGGAUGCCCGCCACUAUGACGCAGCCGAGACCCACGGUGACUGCGUCAGAGCUUCACCCGGGGAGGUGAGCAGCAGCGGGACGGGGGAACGGCGGGGUAGCCAAGCAACGCCGGACGCGCUGACGUCGCCGGGGCGGCAAAACGUCCGCCCGGGCCCGAGGCGGGCGGAGGCAGCUGUGGUUACGUGCGGGGGGCCGGUGACGCAGUCGCGGGGCGCUGGGACGCGGCUUGCGGAGCCGGCCGGCGGGGGCAGGCCCCAGGCUCGGGCGCGGCGGCGGGACAGCACCUACCUUCCCGGCUUCGGGUCCGGGAGUGCGGGGCGCGGAGCCGCCGGAGCGCUGCCUCCCUCCUUCCUCCUCCCCUCGCCCCCGCCCCGCGGCGCGACACACAAUACUCGCCGGAAGCGGAAGCCGCGCCGAGGCUCGUGUCAGUUGAAGCUGGGGUGUCGGCGGGCGGCAGCGGCCGGGUCUAGCGGUGACUGCGGGAGGAGGAGGAGGAGGGCUGGCGAUGAAAACCAGCAGGAGGAAUCAAGGACAAGAAGGGACCCAGAGGGGCAGGUGGCUGAUAUGCUGGCGUCCAGGUGACCCGAGGAAUCCUCUGGAGAUAGAGGCCUGCGCAUGCGCGUGCUCGAGCGCUGAAGCCCAUGGCCCGCAGGGCGCUGGACGGGCGCCCCGGCCGGCGAGGCUGUCCCGUCCAGACUCCAGGCCCCGGCUCUGGCCAGGCGCCGCCGCUCCCCGGUGCAGCUGAAAGUCGACGAAGAGGGCGGGGCGAGGGCGGCUUGUGGACUUCCACACUUUUCCUCUCUUCGGGCCAGUCCGGGGAGAGGGUGGCUAGCUGUGGCGGCGGCCAAUUACGUGGCGGACCUGCGGGGCUCAGCUGGCACGUCACUUCCGACUAGUGGAGUUUUAGACUUUUAACAUUCAAGGAUUAGAGCUCCCUCUUUGCCCACUAGCAGGGCAAUAGCUGGUGCUGAAAACAGUGGCUGCUUGGCGAGCCUGGAUCUCCAAGUGACUCCAAGUGACCCCCUCAGCAACUCCUGAUGAACAGGACUGAAACCAAUAAUAAGGCAAGUCAACCAAAGGUUCUGUGGUAUAGACAAGACAACAAAAGGACAGACUACUUGUGGAACCUAGCAUUGUUUUUCUGCAGCACUAAGUAACAUUUGUGCUCCAUAAGAUCUUUGCAAACCACACACAGGAAUUGCUGGUCAUCCUGCCAAUAGAUGCUGCUCACAGAACCAAAUUUCCUGUGCUGGAUUGUCACUCAUGGGCUUGAGAGUAGGAGACUGGAGACCAAGGUGGCUAGAAUCCAGUUGGGCCUGACGUCUCCCUGUUGAAAGAGCUCCUUGUGGAAUGGACAGCACAUGGCUCCCGUGGUGGAUCUGAUAGUGGUACAGCACCAAGUGAUGCAGGCCUGCCCCGGGCCACGGCCACAGAAGAUGCUCCCAGGGUCCCCCGAGUACUCUAGACACACUGCAGGCCACCUCUCCCAGCAGGUUCCUAGUCAUGGGCCCUAUCAUCAUGACUUCUGUCCAAGGUGUGCUCAGAAAUCUCUUCCUUAACACCUGUGACUUUCUGACAGGUGGAGGAUGUGGUCAGGAAUGGGAAAAGGAUUCAAGACAGGAAGAGGAAGGGGUUCAGGAUGAAGAGAGAUAAUCUGUGCCACAGAUGCUGGCCCUGCAGUUACCUCCCACCUAGUCCAUGCACACACAUUCUAAUCCCCUCCCAUUGCUCUACAUGCUGCGGCCAGAGAGGCCUUUCUCAAAGUGGAAGUCUCAUCCUCACUUCUCUGGUUACAGUGCUGGGCCGUGGAUGACUUACAAGUCUUAGCAGGAAUUGUCUGCGCACUCCCCGCUCCUGCCUGCUACCUUGUUUCCCUCCAGUCGCGAGAGCAAACAUUGAUUGAGCCUUAACAAUGUACCAGGCUUGUCCUAAGUCCUUCAUAUGUAUUCACUCAAACAAUCCUCACAACAUUCCUGUCACAUCUCCUGUUUCACAGUGAGGGUUCUAAAGCACGCAGUAGGUGAGGAACUUGUCCAGGGUCACACAACUAAGUGGGGGUGGAGAAACAUCAAAUCUAGGUGGUACAGGUGGUGGCCAGAACCCAUCAGCACCUCACUACAGCUGCCUCCAGCUUCUCCCUCUAGAAAAUACUCCUCCCUAUCAACUCCUGUUGUCCUCUGGGCUCAGUUGACAUGUCAUCUCCUCAAGGAGGACAUCCUGAGAUGCUCCCCCGACUAGGGUGGGCACCCACUUCCACACUCCAAAUGCAUGUCUGUUUGACCUGUGUAUUGCUGCAUCCCCACUGCAUGGCAGAUAGCAGGCCCCUAAUAAGUAUGAUUUGAGCAAAUAAAUAUAGUUAUUCAAAAAAUAGGGAGGACUUCUUGUUUCUAGUAAUGGUGGGCUAGGACAUUUGGACCAACCCUCCUGCAGAAAAUAGCCAUUUAUUUUGAUGCAAUAUACCUGGCUACAACUACAGAGAUUUCAGAUAUUUGGAGGGCUAUUAUGUGAAGAUUUAUACUCUUGGUGACAUAGAGGUUAGAAAUUGGUUGUUUCCAUAGAGUAUGAGAGACACAGAAUUGUGCUCAUCAUAAGGAUCUUUUUUAAAAAUUAGACUUAAUAAAAUGGGCUGCUUUGGUAGGUGGUGAGUUCUCUGUCACGAAAGAGAUUCAGCCACUUGCUCUGAGAAAGCAUGGAGAAUACUGACAUCGUAAGGGUCGACCACCUCAUCUCUGAGGCCCCCUCCUCGCUUAGGUUGCCUUUGUACGUGGAACACUGGGCUGAGUGUCAAAGAACUUGGGUUCCACAAGCUGUGCGAUCAUGGCUGGUUAUUUUUGGACCUAUUCCUAAUAUCUGUUAGUUAAGCUGACCCAUCAGUACUGACCCACUUCACAGAGUUAUGAAGGGAUUAAAUUUGGUAUUACAUAUAAAUUUUUGUUUUGUUUGCUUUUUGUUGUUCUUUUUUUGUUUUGCUUUUUUCUUUGCAUUAUGAAAUCCCAAGUCAACUUUUUCCAUUCUUUUAUUUCUUAAAAAAUUGACAUCAUCAUUAUAACAACAAAAUAAUUUUAAAAAUAAAAUAAAAACCCUGCAACCCCUCAAUCUAGUACAAUAAUCAUACUUUUUUCUCUCUAUUCUCUUUUAUUGUGACCAAGGAUGACUUUGGGCAUUGAUGGGAGGAACUAUUUCAUUUAACUCCCUGCUAUCUGAACAUGAUUCACACUUGGCCUUUCACCACCCCCCAAGUAGCUACACAUGAUAUGAUAAUAGUAUUGGUGGUGGUUUUAGAGACUUGGAGAGAAAACUGAAGUUGGAUUUGGGUAAACGAAAAAAGAAUGGGAAUUAUGUUUUCUCCAUUCUAAAGCCCAUAGAGCAAUAUUAAUUGUUCCCACCCCUCUGCUAUUCUGUCUCCUCAGGUACUGUGUGCAGAAAUGUGAUUGAGUUUCAAGUCAGGGCCUCUGCCCUUUUCCUUCCAGAAACAAAACCAAGAUAAUUUAUCCUGAACACACACAGUGAAAAAAGGAAGGAAGGGAGUGGGGAGAAAAAGUCCAGGUCUUACCUGGGAUUCUCUGUCUCCUGCAACAUGAAGGGUUUAGCCUGGGAGGAGGUGGUGAGAACUCUGGGAGAGAUAAAAGAAGGAAAGAAUAGUUUUACCCAUGCUGAAGUUAAACCUUCACCUAGAGAAGCAAACAAACAAACAAACAAAACACUGUUCCAUUUUGUGCCUCCCUUCCUAGAGUUUUAGCCAAAGGUUUAACUAAGUAAUUGGUUUUACCAGGGCACUCACUCCUCUUAUCCCGAGUCUGUUUGCCUCCCUCCCCAUCCUCCUCCUCACCUCUUUCAGGCAGGGUGGGGAUAGCAGCCGGAGGAGAUUCUGGGAUCCUGGCAACUCCUGUAAGGACCGCAGGACAGCCCCUCUGUGGGGAUGCGUGGUGCCCCAUCUGCUGUCCUUCUGAGAAUAAGAAUGCACUGCCUUCACUUUACUGUGUUAGAGUCCAUCCAGACAGUUCUAUCCAAAGAAUAGUUUCUUUUUUCCCCAACAGGCAAUCAGGAAAUGAUUCCUUUCUGGACUACUUCUGUCUAGUGCCUGGGAAUCUUGAGUCAAUCCCUCACUAAGUCAGUGACUAAGUGAGCCUCUCUGAGCCUCCUAGUUCAUGUUGCUUAGGGAACCUGAUAUUUUCAUGAAAUCUGCCUACACAUGGGCAGCCCAACAACAGAGCUAAUGGUGGUGACCAAAGUGAACAAAGAAGUAUAGUUGUGUCAGUUUCCUAGUUGCCCAUGUGGACAAGUCAGCAGGAUCAGGACACGAGGAAGAGUAAAUGUGAGACAGUCAUGUGACUUCUGCGAUAAUAUUCUAGAUUUUUAAACCCCAAAAUUUUGCUAAAAUUUUGGUGAAACCCUGAACUUUCUUCGUUGCAUAUACUGGCCCUAUCUGUACCAUCAUACAACUAUCUCACAUUAAAGCUAUUUUUCUUGAGCACUGAUGAGUAAGGUUGGUAUGUUUGAGUUCCUCAGAUCAGCAAAAACCCAUUUUCCUGUAAGUCUUAUGUUUAGUAUUUAAGGAACUAAAACUUAAAUACAUUGUGUGAAAUGGUUGACACUUCACUGAUAAUGAUUUAUUGCUUGGAUUAAUAAAUUUUCUAAAAGUUGUCUUACUAUGUAGAAUAUGGUUUGCAACCAGCGGAACCAUUAAUCUAUACUGUGAUAAUAUGCACUAUGUAUAAUUGUUUAAAAGUUUCUACUUAAUGAUGUAACAUGCUGUAUUUAAUUACACAUUUGGCUAAACUGUAUACUAACAUCUGAUGGCAUUUUUCCAGUGUGUUGCUUUUUUCAAAUACUUUAUUGUACAAAGCUGUUCUUAAUAUUUUUCAAGUUUUUCUCUUUGAAUUUUGCUAAUGUUUUCCUUGAAUUAUGAGCACUGACAGAAUGUGCUUAGCACUUUUGGCUAUUCACACAGCUUUUGAGCAUGAUUUGCAUCCAGUAUUGACAUUGCUAGCAAUAAUAAGCCAUCUGUGAGUUUUGUCAAAA